AUUGAACGCUGGCGGCAUGCCUAACACAUGCAAGUCGAGCGAGCGGCGGACGGGUGCGUAAUGUAUGGGGAUCUGCCCGAUAGAGGUGGAUAACUACUGGAAACGGUAGCUAAUACCGCAUACUAUCGGAUGAACCCAUAUCGGAGUAGCUCGUUGUUGGGGUAAAGGCUCACCAAGGCAACGAUCCGUAGCUGGUUUGAGAGGACGACCAGCCACACUGGGACUGAGAAACGGCCCAGACUCCUACGGGAGGCAGCAGUGGGGAAUUUUGGACAAUGGGGGAAACCCUGAUCCAGACAUCCCGCGUGUAUGAGAAGGCCUUCGGGUUGUAAAGUACUUUUGGCAGAGAAGCGGGAACUGAAGAAUAAGCACAGGCUAACUACGUGCCAGCAGCAGCGGUAAUAG
rnacentral:rRNA from 1 species